CCUACGGGAUGCAGCAGUGAGGAAUAUUGGUCAAUGGACGAGAGUCUGAAGCAGCCAAGUAGCGUGAAGGAUGACUGCCCUAUGGGUUGUAAACUUCUUUUGUCAAGGGACAAAAACAGGCUCGAGAGCCUGACCGAGGGUACUUAAAGAAAAAGCGUCGGCGAACUCCGUGCCAGCAGCCGCGGUAAUACGGGGGAUGCGGGCGUUAUCAGGAUUAAUGGGGUUAAAAGGGUGCGUAGGCGGACGGUUAAGUCAGCGGGAAAAGCCCGGGGUCCAACCCCGGCGAGCAGUUGAAACUGGCUGUCUUGAGAUGUCGAGAGGUAUGCGGAAUGCGCAGUGUAGCGGUGAAAUGCUUAGAUAUUGCGCAGAACUCCGAUUGCGAAGGCAGUUCACUGGACUGCAACUGACACUGAGGCUCGAAAGUGUGGGUAUCAAACAGGAUUAGAUACCCGGGUAGUC
rnacentral:rRNA from 1 species